UUCUGCCUCAGAGCAGCUGCCUUCUUCUCCUGCUCGGCGUGGCUCUUCAUGUGGGCGCUGCGACUCUUCACCUUGAAAAACACCCUGUAGCCGGACAGGAGGGGCUCCAGUCAGAGGUCUGUCUCCCACUCUGAGACCAUCGGGCUAGAGCACUUGCGCGUGUCUGUGUGAAUGUGUAUGUGUGUGUGUCUGUCUGCGUCUCCGGUCGGGGCUCCCCGGCCCUUCUGACUUGCUCGGCGCCACGUGGCCUAGCCCCACCCUUCAACAAAGAGACCGACGGGCUCCCGAUUCAGUGGCAUCAUUCCUCUCCUAAAAGCUGCCAGGGGACGUCACUGCCCUGGAACCCCUGGGCCAAUCAGGAGGCGAGGCGCAAGCUGUGACUCCUCCUGCUUCUCCCUAGGAAUGGCCGCCCACCCCUCCCCCAACCGCAGCCAACCCGCCAGUGCCCUUCGAGACUUCCCUGGCCCCUCCCUUGGCUUCUCUGAGGCCUGGCCACCCGCAGAUCCAGGGGCGUUGGACUCGUGGCUUCGGAGGAUGAGGAUGUCAUUGGCCUGGAGAGGGUCAAACGAGGAGAGGUGAGAGAUUUAGGCAAGUCAGAAUCCCCAAUUCUGGAACAUCAGCAAACAGCAGGCUUGUAAAGAUCAUGCAGUCCUGCCCAACGGUCCCCUAGCAUCCUCUAGAAUCUUUCCAGUGACAAGGCAGUCACUGCCUUUUUGGAAGCCCAUUCCAUCUUUGACCAGCUCUGUUUUUACAGAUUGCUGGUACAGUAAUUUGGUGGGACAGCCCUAGCUCUACAAGACAGGACUUCCUGAUGCAUCUAACAGGGGUCUUGGCUUGGACAUGGCUUCAUGUUUUCAGUAUUUCAUCUAUGACAUCAUUCCAUAAAUAAGCUUCAAAUCUAUGUAACAUGCCAGGUCACUCAGAGGGUACAGAGGGGACAGAAGGCCCUGCCACCAGAGAACUCAGUCUGAAGGGACAGACACACAGGCAGCUAGCUCAUGAUAAUAGGGGCCACCAUGGGAAAUGCCAAGGAGGUAACAGAGAGCACAGGAUCCCUGGUGUAGACCUGGAGAGGUGCUGCUCAGGGUAUGCAAACCAUGGACCUUGCGAUAUGGGAGACCCAGAUGGCCAUUAGAAGAUACACGCGUGUGCACUGGAUCAAACCCCAUAGGAAAGCAUUCAUAAAAGUUCAGCAGAACUCAGUGGAGUGUAUAUACAAAGAACAGCUCUUAGAGGAGUGCUACCAAGGCUCAGAAGGGAGCAAACCACUGUGUCUGCAGUUUGGGAGAGGGGUUUCCUGCAAGGGUAGCCACUGGCAUCCUGGAGAAGGGGAGUGAGAGGAAAUGAAAAUGCAGAUUGUUAGAAGCAUACUAGGUCUGGAAAUGUUUCACCUCCCCCUACUCCCAACCCUGCAAGACCCAAAUGAAGAAGGCAACCCACUGCAAAGUGCACUGCAUUGCCCUGCCUAAAACCCUGCAUGUGAAUAAAACCCGUCUUCCCUUCAGGUGUGGAUACACCUACAUA